CAAGAUCUCACUGUCACUCAAGUUGGAGUGCAGUGGUACAAUCAUAGCUCACUGUAACCUUGAACUCCUGGGCUCAAGCGACCCUCCCACCUCAGCCUCCCAAGUAGGUAGGACUCUAAGCAUGUGCCAUCAUAUCCCACUAAUUAUUUUUUUUUUUUUUUAGAGACAGGGUCUCACCAUUUUCCCAGGUCGAUCUCAAACUCCUAGACUGAAGCCCUGCACUUACCUCCUAACACACUCUAUACUAGAAGCAUGGAUGGCCCAUCUUUCCUUGGAAAAGGACACCUUUAGGACUCCGAGUGUAAGAAGGCAUUUUGCGGGUAUAUCUUCUUUUCCCAUUAUAAUUUAAGAUUGAUAACAUGGAAGCAGUAGGUCUUAUAGAGGGCAUCCAGAUAACUGGAUAAUAAAAAAUUGAAA
rnacentral:lncRNA from 1 species